UACGGAGGGGGCUAGCGUUGUCCGGAAUCAUUGGGCGUAAAGCGCGUGUAGGCGGUUCGGUAAGUCCGCUGUGAAAGUCGGGGGCUCAACCCUCGGAAGCCGGUGGAUACUGUCGGGCUAGAGUACGGAAGAGGCGAGUGGAAUUCCUGGUGUAGCGGUGAAAUGCGCAGAUAUCAGGAGGAACACCAAUGGCGAAGGCAGCACUCUGGGACGUGACUGACGCUGAGACGCGAAAGCGUGGGGAGCAAACAGG
rnacentral:rRNA from 1 species